rnacentral:rRNA from 1 species
UGGGGAAUUUUGCACAAUGGGGGAAACCCUGAUGCAGCGACGCCGCGUGAUUUAGAAGGCCUUCGGGUUGUAAAAAUCUUUUGUAUGGGAAGAAAAUGACAGUACCAUACGAAUAAGGACCGGCUAAUUACGUGCCAGCAGCCGCGGUAAUACGGAAGGUCCAGGCGUUAUCCGGAUUUAUUGGGUUUAAAGGGAGCGUAGGCUGUUUGUUAAGCGUGUUGUGAAAUGUAAGAGCUCAACUUUUAGAUUGCAGCGCGAACUGGCAGACUUGAGUGCGCACAACGUAGGCGGAAUUCAUGGUGUAGCGGUGAAAUGCUUAGAUAUCAUGACGAACUCCGAUUGCGAAGGCAGCUUACGGGAGCGCAACUGACGCUAAAGCUCGAAGGUGCGGGUAUCGAACAGG